UACGAGCUGUGCAAACGUUACUCGGAAUCAUUGGGCUUAAAGGGUGCGUAGGCGGCCUCGAAAGUCGGGUGUGAAAUGUCCUGGCUCAACCAGGGAAUUGCGCCCGAAACUACGAGGCUCGAGGGAGAUAGAGGCAAGCGGAACUCAGGGUGGAGCGGUGAAAUGUGUUGAUAUCCUGGGGAACACCGGUGGCGAAAGCGGCUUGCUGGGUCUCUACUGACGCUGAGGCACGAAAGCUAGGGUAGCGAACGGG
rnacentral:rRNA from 1 species